rnacentral:rRNA from 1 species
CUCCGGUUGAUCCGCCCGGACCUGACUGCUAUCGGAUUGGUACUAAGCCAUGCGAGUCGUUGUAGCAAUACAAGGCGGACGGCUCAGUAACACGUAGUCAACCUAACCUAUGGACGUGGAUAACCUCGGGAAACUGAGAAUAAACCGCGAUAGAUCAUUAUGCCUGGAAUGGCUUAUGGUUCAAACAAUUUAUUGCCGUAGGAUGGGACUGCGGCCUAUCAGCUUGUUGGUGAGGUAAUGGCCCACCAAGGCUAUAACAGGUACGGGCUCUGAGAGGAGAAGCCCGGAGAUGGGUACUGAGACACGGACCCAGGCCCUAUGGGGCGCAGCAGGCGAGAAACCUUAGCAAUGUGCGAAAGCACGACUAGGUUAAUCCGAGUGAUUUCUGUUGAAGAAAUCUUUUGUCAGUCGUAAAACCACAGACGAAUAAGGGGUGGGCAAGUCUGGUGUCAGCCGCCGCGGUAAUACCAGCACCUCGAGUGGUCAGGAGGUUUAUUGGGCCUAAAGCAUCCGUAGCCGGCUACGCAAGUCUCCGGUUAAAUCCAGCUGCUCAACAGAUGGGCUGCCGGAGAUACUACAUAGCUAGGGAGCGGGAGAGGUAGACGGUAUUCUGUGGGUAGGGGUAAAAUCCACUGAUCCAUAGAGGACCACCAGUGGCGAAGGCGGUCUACCAGAACGCGUUCGACGGUGAGGGAUGAAAGCUGGGGGAGCAAACCGGAUUAGAUACCCGGGUAGUCCCAGCUGUAAACGAUGCAAACUCGGUGAUGCAUUGGCUUAUGGCCAAUGCAGUGCCGCAGGGAAGCCGUUAAGUUUGCCGCCUGGGAAGUACGGACGCAAGUCUGAAACUUAAAGGAAUGGCGGGGGAGCA